rnacentral:lncRNA from 1 species
CAGGAGUAGAGUUCAGGCCCCCGGUUUUGCCCCCAUCAUUCAUUCUUUGUAGUAGAAAAGAGCAGCAAGCGCAAUCUGGCUUUCAUUGGUUCAUUGGUUAGACCUUUCUUUCCCGUGUAAAUUUUUCGCUUUCAUGUUCUAUAUUGGCAUUCCGUCGGUUCUAGCAAACACUUUAUUUCUGACAGACAGACAAAGUAGGCGAAAUAAUCGACCCGCUCGCGGUUAAAUCUUGCCGUGUGCUUGAAAUCUGUUUGUAGAGGUGCAGUGCGGUCGGAUUUGCUGUGAUCAUGUGGCUGGACUAGUGCGGUGCUACGUCGUUGUCCCGGCGACGGCGAGAAGGAAGAAAGGUAGUAGAAAAAUGGUGCUUGCGCGUUGGGUGAUGUGGACGGCAGUGGCGUCCGGCGUGGAGACGUCGAGCUCAUUCUCAGGGCGUCGCACCCCGCCGUUCAAACCUGGAAGUCCACACCGGCAUUGACCUGCUAUUCUGCUCGAGACGGCUAGCGUGGCACUCUGGCUGGCAGAGUCCUAAUCAUUUUCCCUUUCCCUGUGACGCAACCCGUGAGCGUGGAAUUCCAGCUCCUCUCCGCUUAUUAGUCACGCCGCACCGCAGCCCCUGUGGAACGCCACGCCAGAAAGAGAACAAUCUUUUGUUUUUCACUGAGCUCAACUUGUACCUUCUCCACCCCGCAACAAAAAAGAGGACUUGUACCUUCUCGACCCCGCAACAAAAAUGAGGACUUGCGAAUCAACCUGUGGUUGAGUUGGUUAGGUGGACAGUGGUAUCCCUAACCCACCAGGGUUCAAAUUCUGGUGCUUGCAUUAUUCCUGGAUUUAUUCCUGGCAGAAUCUUGGUGCACGCACACCAGGGGUAGGGUGUGCGUGUAUGCGUUCAUAGGGGUGAGUGUAUGCGCGUGUAUAUGAGCGUUUGUGUCUGUACUGAUGCUUAAAAAAAAAGAGGACUUGUACCUUCUCCGAAUUAGGCUACACCCGCAACCAAUAAUAAUAAUUUGACCGGAACCUGCAAAAUUCUCAGAUUCUAGAAAACGGAUAAAUUUUACAGGCGCUCUUAAACGUACAAAAUUAAUAGACCGGAACUUACAGCGGCAUGGCGUAUCGCUCGUAUAUUUUCGAUGAUUUUUAGCGGUUUGUUUUGAAAGAACUUUACAGGUUUAUAAGUUGUACUCCUGCAUAUCUAGUGCUCCCUCCAUUUUUAUAUACAAGGCCACAAACUAAGAUUACAGAUACCAAUAUAAAAUUUAAUGCAUUCUUUGCAAGUUAGGCCUUAUUCGGUUUGGAGGAAAGCAAAAUGUAGGAAUUAGGAGUAGUAUAGGAAUUUCAUAGGAUGGCACUUGCCAUCCUAAGGAAUUGUCUUGCCUCGUUCCUACGCAUAAAAUGAGCUUUAAGUAUAUACGUAUAUUCCUCCAGAAAUAUAGGAAAUGAAUAGUAUUUCUAUAAAAUUCUCAUACGCGUUUCCUACAAACCGAAUGCAUCUAUAAGAAAAUUUCCUACGGAAUCCUUGUUACUAUGUAUUCCCCAUAGAAAUCCUCCAAACCGAAUGAGGCCUUAGCUUUUCUUUUCAUUCACUGAGAUCAUUAAUACUUCCUCUGUUUCUUUUUACCCCUCGUAUAAAAUUUGAUCAAAGUCAAACUACAUAAAGUUUGACCAAAUUUAUAUUAGAAAAUAUGAACACCUACAAUACUAAGACUAUAUAGUAUGAAAAUAGAUUAUUAUAAUAUUGAUUUCAUAUUGUGAAUGUUGAUAUUAUUUAAUACAUAGUUGGUCAAACUUUAUAAAGCUUGACUUUGACCAAAACCUUAUAUGCAGACUAAAAAGAGACCAAGGGAGUACACCACAUGCAUACAGGAAAACUGUGUGAAGAAAGUAGCUGACUAUCAUUAUGAUUGCAUGCAUGCAAGUAUUAAACAAAUUGCUAGUACAAGAAAAUAUCAUUAAUUUUACCUCGAUUAACGCUAGUGGCCUUAUAUAGAUGCAAAAUGUAUAGUAUUUCAUAGUGGCCUUGUAUAAGUAAAUGAAGGAAUUAGUACGAUUUUAUCCCCAUUAUUUCACACACUUUGGGAUCACAUGUCGGCUAAGCAAGCCGGAGGUUCAUCCUCCAUUUCGAGCCAAAAACGAAUAAAUGGGGGCAGGAGCCCACACAGCACAUACGACCAUUUAAGCCGGGCCUCGCGUGAGCAAAGCUGCCGAGCAUCAUCUCGUCCUCCUCCACCCGCGUCAACGCCGCAGUCAAAACUCCACAUUCCCACUCCCACCAUGCCGCCCGCCCGGCUGGCCGCGCCGGCCGCCGUCCUCCUCGUCCUCCUGCACCUCGCCGCGACGGCCACGGCGACCAACUUCACCUGCAGCGCGCCGCGGGGCACCACCUGCGACUCCGCCAUCGGCUACCGCGUGCCCAACGCCACCACCUACGGGGACCUCCUCGCCCGCUUCAACACCACCACCCUCGCCGGCCUCCUCGGCGCCAACGGCCGCCCGCUCGCCACCUCCCCCAAGACGCGCGUCGCCGCCCAGGCCACCGUCCGCAUCCCCUUCCGCUGCCUCUGCGCCGGCAACGGCGUCGGCCAGUCGGACCACAAGCCCGUCUACACCGUGCAGCCGCAGGACGGGCUGGACGCCAUCGCCCGCAACUCCUUCGACGCCCUCGUCACCUACCAGGAGAUCGCCACCGCCAACAAGAUCGCCGACGUCAACCUCAUUACUAUCGGCCAGAAGCUCUGGAUCCCGCUGCCCUGCAGCUGCGACCCCGUGGACGGCGCCGCCGUCUUCCACCUCGCCCACAUCGUCGGCGGCGGGGAGAGCACCUCCGGCAUCGCCGCCACCUUCGGCGUCACCGAGGACACGCUGCUCAAGCUCAACAAGAUCGCCGACCCCAAGACACUGCAGAAGGACCAGGUUCUUGAUGUCCCGCUCCCUGGUACGUAAAUUACUUACCCGUGCUCUGUUUCCUCUUAAUGUUUUCUUGCACAUACAACUAGUUCAAUCAAUACAUGGAGUUUAUUAAUUGUUCUUGCAAACUUGUGAGUUCUGAACUACUUACAGAGAUAAGUUCUGAACUCAGAUUUCAGUUUUUCACCCGCAAAAAGAGAACUCAGAUUUCAGUUUAUCUUGAACCUUGCCAGUAGAGGAGUGCCAAGGAAGAAUGCAAGUUAUUAGGAUUACAAUAGGAUAAAUUAGUUAUAGUCAACUACACGCAGGACCAGCCGGGGGAAAUUCUAGUUCAGUUGCUUUGUUUAGUAAUUUGCCCCAUGGAGCUUAGGUGUUACUGACUUGCUGUUAUAGUUCGGAUUAAAAAGUAACAUGGAACGUAAUUCUAAUAAAUUUAUUGCGGAAUGCUAGUUAAUAAUCAAGAAUGGAAAAUUCAGGUAUCUUCUCCGCGAAGUGCUUGUGCGGUGCCCUUCUUAACGUCGCACAUAUGCUUCGACUGAUUCAUCUAAUUCAGUAAUUGUUUUGGUAGUUUAAAAGGUGUAACUAGGACUAUUCUUGCAAUAUGAGGUACUGCCACUAAGUCUGUGUUGAAGUUUUCAGUUGACUGGUGACAGUUUGCCGGAAUGCAAUUUAGGAUAAACUAAUGAGUUAAUUAUGGAAGGCCACAUGCAUGACCUGGGACCGGGGAAACUGAAAAUUAAGUAUGCUUGUGUGGAGCUUUAUUCCAAAUAUUCAGCGAUGACUAGGCGAGCCGAACAAGAUGAGGUUGAUGCGCAUGUUUAAGUUGUUCAGAGAGAUUGAGACCUCAUGCUUCCACUCUCAACUUGGAAGCUUUUAGAGAUGUCGCUAUUUGUACAUCCUGUAUGCCAGGGCAGAAAGCUAAUAAAUUGCAGCCGUUUAAUUGUCCAGAAAAAAAUGCAUCUCUGGUGUGAAAUUUGUUGAAGAAAAUCAGUUUUGAAGGUUCAAUUGAUUGAGCCCUACUUGGACUUGUUUAAUUGGUUGUUAGCUGUUGCUGUCUCCGGGCAAACUCUCUGACUUUUUGGUCUCAAGCUAUGAACAUACGACCAAUCCACAAAGUUGACUCUGACUGGACUGCUCAGUGCCCACGCAUUUUUGAAGAUUAUACAUGGAUUCUUUUGACCACUAUUCAUUAUGGUUCAUAAGAAAAAGCCACUUAUACAACAUGUAUUCUGAAUCUGGUACUAACUGCUCGUCGAAUUUUUGUGUACUCAGUUUGCAGCUCAUCAAUCAGCAACAGCUCGGCCGAUCAUGAUCUGCGCAUCCCGAACGGCACCUACGCGCUCACCGCGCAGGACUGCAUCCAGUGCCGCUGCAGUUCAAACACCUUCCAGUACGCAAACUUAGCUCCCCUGCUUCCAUAUCUCUCGAGCUGUUUCUAUUUCUCAAGCAGUGACCAGGAGAAUAACCAUUUCUUCCCCAUGUGGCUACCAGGCUAAACUGCACCGCCCUGCAAGGCAAGAAGGGGUGCCCGGCAGUGCCGGUGUGCAGCGGAGGGCUCAAGCUUGGGGACACAAGCGGCACCGGUUGCGAAUCCAAGAUGUGCGCUUACAGUGGUUAUUCCAACAGCUCUUCACUCAGCAUACAGACCACUCCUCUCAAAAACCAGACAGCACCAGCAUGCGAGAGUAAGUGUAACCUCUAAACUCACAGACCCUCUUGGGGCCCCGAGCAACCGAGUUUCUCGAUCUGAGCCGGCGAUGAGACGUGUCUCUAACCUCUUGUUGGUAUUGCAGAAGGAGGAUCUUCGAGGUCGGUGUUCGCGGGGUCCAUGUGGAGGAUAUCUGCCAUCUCCUUCCACAUGGUGUUGAUAUUGGUAUGCUUCCUUUGAUACCGAAGAUGCCAACUCUAGCUGGUAUAUAUAUCUUGAAAAAAGGACUCACGAUAGUACAUCAAUUUGUCGAUCGAUGUGAUUGUUGUUGUAACUUGAAAUUCCGAUGACCGGUUUGUUGAGCUUUUUGUUUUUGACUAUUCUUCUAGAGAAUGAGUGGCGCUAGCUGCCUGAAUAAAGCAAUCAUAUGUGUAAGGUUUGCAUCUGGAAGUGAAUUGUACUCAUUAGAUUGGGUAAUUGCAAUAAAACGUUACAAGAGUAAACAACUUCAGAAUGGUACUAUACCAAUCAAACUUUGUCGGUGUAUCGCGACCUUUGCUAUAAGGCCAUCGUACCCCACCCCUACUAAAUGUUUGUCCACUAAUCGCAUGUUGCCUCGAGGGUGACAAUAGAACACAACCACAAGACCCCAUACAUCACAAUCUUAUCUUCAAGCUUUCCUAGGGGAUGAAGUUGUCUGAUUCGGCAGUGAGUCAGUGAUGGUUCCUGGUCUGGCUGGGCAGUAUCGAACCUGGUUCCUUCCUAGGAUAAAAGUGAAAGUUUUGCACGAAGGUAUUAGUGAGUAGGAGGCAUUGGUCGCACUUAUCUUGGAUGAAGGGGACGAUGCCGGCAUUUUUCGCCAAAUAAUAGAAAUCAUCAUGAAUUCCCGCCUCCUUAAAAAAUGUGUCACUCGGCCAUUCACACAGCCGAACCUCCGCCACACGCGGAAGAUAUUGUGGAUCAUACUACUUGUGUUGCUUGCACCAUGAGACUUAUCGGUCAUCUCAUACUACUUGAUUGCGCACAUGUUAGAGAUCUUGCUUCGACUUGCCAUUUUCACAUUUUCAUGCCUCAUACAUAUUUACCUUGUGUGUUGCAUCCAAUUCUUGGACUCCUUGCUCCUUUUGGAAUUGAAACUUUGGCAUGAGCCUUUUUAAGCCAUUUCUUUUGCGUGCAUUAUCUCUUAACUUCAAUUUAUCAUACUACUACAAUACUACUGCUACUCAGAAUUUUGCUCCUUGGUCAUCUUUUGCAUCAGUAAACUAUCAAAUUUGACAAAUUAGCACAAACACUUGAUACGGAGAGUUAUGAUAAUCCAUGUACUAAAUCUCGUUGCCAUGAACUUGUUCAAUUCACCUGUAAGAAAGAAGGGCCUGUCAGCUCUGACAAGAGAACUACUUCAUCUCAUCUAUAAAAGCUCGUGUCGGUAACUAAGAACAAUAGUUGCGUGAUAACAUAACACAGAAGCUCUAGCAGACUUGGAAGCGUCAAGUAGGUCACCUAAACAGAGUGCCAGUACAAGCAGCAGCAGAAUUUUUGUCUUCCUGUUUGGCUGUUUCAACAGCGUCUUGCUUCAUCGGCUGUCUCUCAUAAUCAUAACCAUCAUAAUCAUAACUGGUAAAGUAAGUUUAGUUACUGAUGAGAUGAAGGAUUACUGGAAUAGGCAUCGAUGAAAUCCCUCAGCGGGCAGCAGAAAGGCAAAUUUGUUGAUUGUUUCUCAAUUCUUUCAUCAGCUCGGUUCCAGAAUUCGGCAAAAUGAACCCGUGGCAUCAUUUGAGACAUCACUGCUCGCCAAAAAGUUGACAUGAAAGCAGGUUGUGCAGAAGGAAUAGCGGUAGCGGUAUGUGGCUGUUGUCACUCCACAAAUAGUACCAAGCUUGUAUGUGUGUCCCUAAAGCAAGCAAGGAGGUGUGGAAUAUUAAGUACACUUGUUAGGACAACCAAAAAUAGUAAAAGCUAAGUAUGAUAAUUAAUCUAUAGGUGAUCAAAAGAAGCAAGGAGGUGAGAAAUUAGACAUAUUUGUAAGAACAAUUGACAAAGGCAAAAGCCAACUACUCAAAAGUAUUUAAUACCUUAUCGUGGCCAUAGUGGAGCAGUAAAUUUUCCAAUCUUGUGCGAACAUAAGCAUGUUCAGACUUGAAGGUCGACCUCCUUUCAGAUACUCUAUAUAAGUUAGCCUGGCCCAGACGAGGAGCAGGACUUUGCACCGUUGUUGUUGCAUUGUCUGUUGUUUCCUUGCUCACCAUCUUCUUUAUCCGGUUUAAAGUAUCAUCAGAGAGAGCAUAGCCUAAACUUCUGUCAGAUACUAUAAGGGAGCGCAGACAAUCAAGUUUACCGGGAUUCAGCGAAUUGAGGAAAUCCUCAAAGGCGGCGGGUUGUGAGUGUUUGGCAACCUGUUCGGUUUGUAGGAAUUUCAAAGGAAAAGGUAUAGGAAUAAAAAAAAGGAGGAAAUGUAAGAGAACCAGCGUUCAGCAUGCAGGAUUUUUGGCUUCACAUUCCUCUGGAAAGAUUCCAUAUCCUGUACUUUCACGGGAAAAUAAAAAUCCAAUCAGAGCUCUUGUUUUCGCGGAAGACCGAGGCAGGCGAGCGCUAACAACUGAUGGAGCCUGACAGCUGUACUGUGCAUUCAAAUAAAACAUGCCUUUCCUAUGCAUACUUCAGCUUGGAGACAAAAGCAGCUACUCUGCAUGCCGAAUAGAUUAUGUUUUGUAAUCUGUACUUCACACUUCAUGCAUAAGCUGCCUCCUGUGUUAUUCCUGCAGCCAGCCGAACGCGUUUCCCUCAAGCCUACCUAUGUUUCUAGAUCCUCUGUUCUGCUCCGUUUUCAUUUUCUAUUCCUACGAUUUUUCAAGUUCCUAUGUUUUAAUACCCUUUGUGCCGAACAGGGUCUAAAUUGGAUAAUAUGUUCUUUGAGCCCUGUUGCAACAAGUCUGCAGGGAGGUUGAAGCGAUGCUCGCAAAGUAGUAUCACUGCUUGUAGCUCUGAGAUUGAGUACGUAGAGCGGACGAACACGACAAGGCCAUUGAGGGAACGAGAUUCAACAAGGGACAUCGACCUAGCAUCGAGAAUAUCGGCUGUACCAACCCGAUUGCAGAUUUUCUCUGCGACCGGGAAGACANNNNNNNNNNNNNNNNNNNNNNNNNNNNNNNNNNNNNNNNNNNNNNNNNNNNNNNNNNNNNNNNNNNNNNNNNNNNNNNNNNNNNNNNNNNNNNNNNNNNNNNNNNNNNNNNNNNNNNNNNNNNNNNNNNNNNNNNNNNNNNNNNNNNNNNNNNNNNNNNNNNNNNNNNNNNNNNNNNNNNNNNNNNNNNNNNNNNNNNNNNNNNNNNNNNNNNNNNNNNCUGAAUAUAUUUCUCAAGUUUGCAAUCCAUCGUUUGACUGAUUACAAAGGGGAAUUAUAUAAGUACGUGUAAACGUGAUAAGAGGUAGGAACGCCAAGAAGAGGCGGCCUGUUUCUGCGCUGGUUUCUUCAUCCUGUAAGUCCAGAGCAUGAGUUCUUCAAUGAUUUGCUUGAGGGUGAAGACACUGUGGUGGUUUUGCUGUCUGAAAGUCAUUGCGUUUCUGGAGCACCAAAUUUUCCACAGAAUGAUCAGAAGCAUGGAGUGCCAGAUGACUGCAUCAACUUGGGGAGGCAGGCUGCAGUCCCAUAGUUCAUCUAUGCAGUGAGGUGGUCGGAGCCCAAUCCUUUGCCAAAUUCGCUGCGCGAGCGGGCAGUCCAGAAAGAUGUGCGAAGUAGAUUCGCCAUCCGAGCCACAUCUUGGGCAGGUUGAGUUGGAGACAAUAUGCUUGCGAAGGAGAUUGGCUUUGCAGUUCAGCCGACCACGAAAUAAUAGCCAGGCAAAAAUCUUCACUCUAUUGGGGACGCAUGAAGACCAUAUUGGGAUAGUGUGAGCGUUUGAGCCGUCAACCUGUACGAACAGAUCAUAAGCCGCCUUUGUGGAGAAGCGCAGGCCGCCAUUAAGGUAGCGGUCGUCCGGUUCCGGUAAAGGCUGGAAGUCCUGUAGAAGUGACAACAAGGAGCACAACUCGGCAGUAGCAUUAGAUCUUAGGCGGUUCCGCAGUAUAGAUUCUAAACCAUGAUUAAAAACAGUAGCCACACGAGCAAGUAUUGAUGUAGUGUGCGAGAAAAGGUAGGGAAAAAGUAGCAGCAAGCGGUUCAUGGUGAAGCCAAACAUCAAACCAAAAAUAUGUUAAGGUGCCCGAGUUUGUGAUUACAAAGGAGAUAGCCUGUAAUGCUGGUAGGUGGUGGUUAAUGGUACGGCAAAGGAAGGACUGAUUAUUAUGUGGGGCGAUGAAGGCAUUGGGGUGUUGUAGAUCAAUCCAUUCCAGCCAGGGUGUCUGGUUUGGUAACAUUGCUUUGACAGCAAAUUUCAUUAGGAGACAUUUAUUCUGCUGGUGGAGGUUUUUGAGUCCUAAGCCCCCAAACCUUUUUGGUUUACAAACAUUUUUCCAGGCAACUAGGCAUUGAGCACCGGUGCAAGUUUCCUCUGCAGCCCAAAAGAAGGCUCGUCGAAUUGAGUCAAGUGUUUUUAGAACGCUCUUCGGGAUAAGGAAGACAGACAUAAAGUAGACGAGGAUGGAGUCAAGUACAGCAGACAGGAGGAUGAGUCUGUCGCCCUUAGAGAGGAGUUUGGCUCGCCAGCCAAUUAGAAAAUUUCGACAUCUGUCAAUGAUUGGUAGAAAAGCGUUAGCAGGCAAGCGUGUGGGUGCUAGGGGUAAACCUAGGUAGAUUUGUGGGAAGGUGGAGGUUGUGCACUGUAGGGUGGUGGCAAUGUCGGCAGCGACGUUAGGGCAGACGUGCAUGGGUACAAAGGUGGUUUUCGUGUAGUUUAUAGUGAGGCCAGUGGCUAACGCGAACUUGUGAAGAAUAUUUUUUAGCUGGGCAGCUGCUAGAGCUGAAGCCUUGGCGAUGAUUAAGGUGUCAUCGACGUAUUGCAAGAUUGUGGGCGGUAAGUGUGAGAAUAGAGGGUGACUAAGAUGUAGAAGGUUGCAGUCUCGGUUGAUCAUCUGCUGUAGUAGAUCGGCGACAAUGAUGAAGAGGUAGGGCGAUAUAGGGUCGCCUUGUCUGAGGCCAUUUUUGCACCGAAUCCAGUUCCCUGGAAUCCCGUUUAGCAUGACUGCAGUUUUCCCAGUGUGGAGGAGAUCAUUAACCCAGUUACAGAAUUUUGUCGGGAAGCCACGGCAUUUGAGAAUGGACGCGAGGGAUUCCCAGGAGAGGGAGUCAAAGGCUUUGCUGAAGUCAAGUUUAAUGACCAUAGUUGGGGCUUUUCUGAAGUGACGGGUGCUGAUGAUAUCCGCAACAAAGACAAAGUUUUCUGCGAUGCAACGGCCCGAGAUAAAACCAGUCUGAUUUUCAUGUACGAGGAGUGGGAUUAAUGGUUUAAUCUGUUUGUGAGUAUUUUUUCUGUAGCUUUUAUUGGGCAGUUUUGGAGGGAGAUUGGGCGGUAGGCAUCUGGUGUGUUAGCAUGGUCUUUUUUGGGCAAGAGAAUGAUGUGUGCUCUGUUUAGGCAUUCCGUUUGUGCGGAGAGGUUCUGAAAAUCAGCCAUGAAGGAAUUUAUGUGAGGUUUGACAAUGUUCCAGAAUUUCCGAUAAAACAUCGGGCCAAAACCGUCGGGUCCAGGAUCCAUCGGGCCGUAGCAGUGUCUGGCUGUCAAGACAGCACUGACGAGGUGCUGCUCGCGUAAGGCAUGGUUGGGCAGUAUGCGAAGAGCGUCGAUGUAGAAGCCAUGAAUGGUACGAAGAAGAGGCAUCUUGAGAAGCGGGAGGAACUCGGGGUUCUCCCGCCAUGCGUUGUUCACUCUCGAGUUUCUCUCUAUGGCUAAAACAGUUGAGAGAUAAUUGACAUUAUCGUCGUUGCCGCCCGUGUAAUCAUCAUCAUCAUGGCUCAGACAAGUUGAGGUGAUUGUGGUCGUGGCAAUAAGGUCUCUGGAUAUGGUGGUUGUGGCGAAGACGCCUUGUGAACUUGAUGAUUAUGGUGACAUUCCCACUAUUGUCAAGAUAAAAGCCAGGAGUAGGCGCAGGGGUUGGCGGCGGCGUCCCCUGGAGGCAUGGGACGAGAGGACCUCACCAGCAACCGCGAGGCUAGCUCGGGCGAAGACGCCACCUCCUGGAGGGCAGAUGGGGCGGGGCAGCGGGCGCGGAGGUGACGGCAGGGGCGAAUCUACUAGGGGGGCUUUAAUAGGCUUGAGCCCCCCUCCAACACUGCAAGAAUUUUUUUACUACUAGUUUCAUGGCCCAACUCAACCACUUGCAAGCCCAACCCAACCGAUAUUGGCAUGAUACAGGCUUUGAGCCCACCCUCCAGUUUCUGUCUAGAUUCGCCACUGGGUGACGGGGAUGGCGACGGAUAGGACGGUGUGGCAGCGUAGGGGACCUGCCGUUGGCGGGUCUGAUGCCUCUGGGUCAGGGCAGCCGGCUGGCGGCGCGAACCCUAACUCAGGUCGAGUGCUUGUGGGUGGGGACGAACGAGUGUGGAGAAUGAACGUGAGCCUUCUCGCUGGAUUCAUUCGUUUUGGGCCUCGCUCGCUUGGCCCGAGUAACAUUUCGCUCGUAGAUAGGAUGUCCAAUAGAGGUUGUUGUUGAAAACGAAUCAUUUUCUUUUAAGGGGCCGGUGAGAAUCGUCAGAAACACCAAAAUUCUUUUUUUUAGCAUCAGUACAGACACAAGCGCUCAUAUACACGCGUAUACACUCAUCCCUAUGAACGUACACACGCACAUCAUAUCCUUAUGAGCACCUCCGAAAAAUUGAGCCGGCAUAUUAUCUUGAGAUUUAAGAAACACCAACAUUCGAUGAUACUAAAAUGCACUGCUAUUCUUGAAUGAUUCUAGCCGAUUUCUUGCACAGAAAUGACUUCUUUUGCGGUUUUGAUUCCCCAGACCGUGAUUCUUUAGAGUCGAGUCAAAUGAACUCGCCCCUAGUAUCUUGAGUCAAAAGAACACACAGACGCAUGCUGGCCGAUUUCCUCCCACUGUAUUUUUUUUUUGUGUCUCUCAUAUGCAAGCAUGUAUAUUCAUGAAAAUUUACAUAGUUAUAGUACACUAGUAUGCCCGCUUGUACACGAUUUUUUGCAAUUUUUCAGGCCAUAAAAUCCUUUUUUUAAGUUAAAAAAAAGGGAUCAGUGUACGGGGCCUGCUUGUGCACCAAAGGCGUUAUUCGACUGAAACUACAUGUUUUUACCGAUUAUUACUUGCGGCAUAGCAAAUUCGGGAUGGUAGCAAUAUAACAGUAACACAGAAGUUACAAGACAAUGCUUUUUUGGAACUCAUAGAAAAUGCUACAGUUUGCUUGUGGUCAGCUUAGGCAGGAUUCCCAUGGCCCUGACCUUGUCACGGAGCAGAUACUUCUGCGUCUUGCCCGUCGAAGUCUUGGGCAGCUCGGCGAAGAUCACCGUCUUGGGCGCCAUGUAGCGCGGCAGCCGUGCCCGGCAGAAUUCGAUGAUGUCAGCCUCCGUGGCGCUCGCUCCGUCCUUGAGGGUGACGAACGCGCACGGCGUCUCACCCCAGUGCUCGUCCGGCCUGGCCACCACCGCCGCGUCGAGCACGGCGGGGUGGCCGAACAGCGCCGACUCCACCUCGAUGGAGCUGAUGUUCUCGCCGCCCGAUAUGAUGAUGUCCUUGGACCGGUCCUUGAGCUGGAUGUAUCCGUCGGGGUGCCGCACGCCGAGGUCCCCUGAACGCAGCCACCCGCCGCUCAUGGCCUCCGCCGUGGCCGCCGGGUCCUUGUAGUACCCGCUCAUCACCGUGUUCCCUCGCAGCAUGACUUCGCCCACGGUGCGCCCGUCGGAGGGCACGCUCACCAUGGUCGCCGGGUCCUUGAUUUCCAGGCCCUCCAGCAUCACGUGCGGCACGCCUUGCCGCGCCCUGAUCUGCGCGCGCUCGGCGGCCGGCAGCGCGUCCCACUCUGGCUUCCACACGCACAGCGUCGCCGGUCCGUACGUCUCGGUGAGGCCGUACCCAUGGACGACGUUGAACCCGAGCUCAUCCAUCUUGGCCAGUAUGUGCGGCGGCGGAGGCGCGCCGCCUGUGGAGAUGCGCACCUUGACCGGCAGCGGCCUCUGCUCCGAAGCCGGCGCGUUCACGAGCAUGCUGAGCACCGUGGGCGCGCCGCCCAUGUUAGUAACCCUGUGCCGCACGAUCUGCUCGAAGACGGCCUUCGGAGCCAAGCUCCCGGCCAUGCAGACGCUGGUGCCGCCCUGCGCCGCCGUGGCCCACACCAUACACCAGCCGUUGCAGUGGAACAUGGGCACGGCCCAGAGGUACACCGGCAUGGUCGGCAUCUCGUUGGCGAGCGCCGUGGCCAGCGUGUUGAGGUAGGCGCCGCGGUGGCUGUAGAUGACGCCCUUGGGCCGCGACGUCGUCCCCGACGUGUAGUUGAGGGAUAUCGGGUCGCACUCGUCGGCGGGCCACCUGAUCUCGAAGCCGCGCGGCGCGCUCCUCAGCAGGGCCUCGUACUCCGGCACGCCAUCGCUACUGAUGCCGUCGCCGUCGGCGAUCGUGACGAGGAGAGGCAGGCUGCCUCCGGCGUCAGCGAGGAGCGCCAGGGCGUCGCGUGCGACGCCGAGGAACUGCGACUCGACGAGGAAGACUCUGGCCUCCGAGUGGUUCAGGAGGACGGACACCAUGGCCGCGUCGUGCCGGGUGUUGAGCGUGCACAGCACACCGCCAGUCAUCGGCACGCUGAAGUGCAGCUCGUACAUGGCCGGCGUGUUCGCGGCCAGCACCGCCACCACAUCCCGGCGGCCGACGCCGAGGCGCGCGAGCGCGGACGCCCCGGCGAGGCACCGCUCCCUCGUGUCGCGCCACGAGUACUCCUUCUCGCCGAAUACGACGGCCGUGCGCGCCCCGUACACGAGCGCGGCGCGCUCCAGGAAGCUCAGCGGCGUGAGGGGCGUGUAGUUGGCGUCGCACUUCACCGACCCCUCCAUGGCGAUGCCUUCGAGAAUGGGAUCCCCGGAGCAAUCCAGGCUAGGUACGGUUGAUGCAAUGCGUAUAGAGGUAACAUGCGGAUUAAUCUAAUCAAGUCCAUGUGUGUUCACUUGGUAUUAGUGAUAUGAUAGCGUUGCGUGAUUAAAACAAGGAACUUCAACAAACGCACGCGGCAUCAGACAAAUGGAAUCUCCUUUUCAGAUGAACAAUGUACUACUUGCAGCUGGCUCUGGCUUUGUGCCAAGCGGCAAAAACCACUGAUUAAGACUGAAUCAUAUACUAUUAUUUGCUUAUAAGAAAACCACUCUAUGGAAAGUUUAAUAGGAAAUGAUAUUUUAUCUUCAAAACUAGGAAAACUCAGCCCCUUGAUUGUUAGAACCAGGCAAACUGGUAACUUUUAGUGAGACUUUGAGGAGGUAAUAACACUGGUGGUGCAUAAAUUUGCCAUCGAUGUUCAUUCUGAUGCCUGAACUUGAAAAAUACAUCGAACUGCUUCUACUUGGUAGUAUGGUUCAAAUCAUGUCUAGAUAUGUAUGUAUUGUUGACUAGACAUGCCAGCGUGGCAUGGGGCCCACUUGCAGUGUCGGGACAGACUAGCAAGAAGAGUGUGCGUCUCAAUGACCAUCGGGUCCCACCUGUCAGUGCACAACCGGAAAAAACAAAAAAAUUUGCACGGGUGAGUUUCGAACCGGCAACAUGUGCGCCACAAAGGACAUGCGCCAACCUAUUGCCCCAUGUAAAUUUGUUGUCUUUUACGUACUGCAACGUUGUACAUAUCCGACACAAUCGUGGAGUUAAAUGGGCUGCAGUUAGUGCACCCAUUUUUCACAUGUUAGUUGUUUUUAUUAUUUUAGAAAUUACAAAAUAUUCAUGUAGUAUAUGAAGUGUUCAUGCCUUUAGGAGAUGUAUUUCUAGUUGUAAAAAGAGGUACUAAAAGUUGCAUAUGAUGUUCAGUUUGGUGCUAAAAGUUGUAAAAUACAUCAUUGCGGUCACAUAACUUGCCUAUGCGUGCAGAUACGGUCACUUCUUUCGUGUCCAGCCGUAUCUUGUGCUCACGUGUUGUGUCAGCAUGAAUACGGCCCACAUGUCGGGGGCUGUGAGUGGUGAGGUGUUGGGUCAGCCAUGCAUUAUCUUUCUUUUGCAAAAAGCAUCUUUGAUUUUUAUUUAAUUACGCACAUCAAGGCACACAGUUUCUUUCAAGAAAGACGAAUAAAAUAGCGCCAGGGGACUAGAACGGACGUCCUCCAAACUAAGAGAUAACUACACUAGCCACUCGACCAAGAAUAAAUUGACAUCAAACUCAGAAACAAAAUUUUCUUUAAUACUAUGUUCGCUCAGCCCAACAAAACAAUAAACGAAAACUAAAAACAUGUUCGUGUAAUUCCCACAGGAAUAAAAUGAUGUAAGAAAACAACUUAUAUUUUGUUGUUUGUGACGUUUCAAAAAUGUUCUACGUUGUAAAAAAAGUAUGUGAUAUUUAAAAAAAAAUAAAAAUUUAAAAAUAUUUGUGUAAUUAAAGCAAGUAUGUUGCAUUUUAAAAAUGUUCUCGCAUUUCAAAAAAAUAUUCAUGCAUGGAAAUGUUCGUGUGUAUGUUGUUAUUAAUCCUGCUCUAUUUAAGAAAACUACGCGGGUAAUAGAAAUUUAUGCACAUUAUCACGCGGAGAGUGGAAUCAUUCUGUUUGAGCGAUCAAUUUUUUUUCAAAUAUAAAAUUGUUCAAAUUUUAAAAUUCUUUUGGAAAAUUCAGCUGAACUAUAUUUCAUUUAUCUAGAUUUUCAACUUUAAAAUUAUUCGUAUUCGAAAAAAACCCCGCUAAUUUGCCUCAAAGAAAUUUGUGUACAUUUAUUCUGCAAUAUAUCUUCUUUUAUCUAGAUUUUUAAAAUUUUAAUUAUUCGAAUUCAGAAGAAAUAGUUUAUUUGUCCGAAGAAUUUGCGUACAAGCAUUCUGACCUAUAUUUUCCUUUAUCUAGAUUUAAAAAAUUAAAUUUAUUUGAAUUCAAACACAAUUUCUGUCUAUUUGUCCAAAAAUACGUGCAUUCAUUCUGCACUAGAUUGUUUAAGUUAAAAAUUAUUCGAAUUUAAACAAAAAUGUAGUUUAUUUGUCUAAGAAAAUCAUGUACAUUCAUUCUGCACUAUAUUUCUUCUAUCUAGAUUUUUCAAAUUUAAUAUUAUACGAAUUCAAACAAAAUUUUAAUGAUUUUUUUGCGGGGAAAAGUUGAAUGAUUUGUCUGAAAAGUUUAUCUAGAGUAUAAGUUAUUUUCUUACAUAGAAAAAAGAAAAAAUGCAAAAGAUAAAUUGUGUAUAUCUCUAUAAUUGCACAUGCGGCGAGCUAGCCAGGAGGUCAUAGGUUUGAACCGGGGCUAUCCCUUUUUUGCACAGCUUUUCCUGUUUAAAUUUCUACUUUCUUCGUACUAUCCAUAUAAUAUGGAGCUAACUGUGCGUACUAAUCACCAAACAUCAUGUUUGUCGAGUAGUUCGAAGCCCAGCAUGUACCCGCCUUUUCAAUUUCAUUUGAGAAUUGUUCACGUAGAUAAAAUGCAAGGGAUCAGAAAAGUUUGGUUUUAAUUUUAUUUGAGAAUUUUCUGCAUAAAUAAAUAAAAUGCAAGGAUUAAAAAAACAGUGAAAAUGAGCCCCCACAACGUUGGCACGUCACGUGUGCCUGGGAUACGGCCGGAUACGAUAGAAAGCACCGUAUAUGAACGAGAGGACAAGUUAGAUGACCAAAAACAUGUAUUUUACGAGUUUAUGCAUCAAACUGAACGUCCCGUGCAAGUUCUAUGACUCCCGGUGUAUUUACCUCUUGUAAAAAGUGUUCACGUGCUUUGAACCGUACUACCAAGUUAUAGAAACAGUUUGGUGUAUUUUUCAAGUUUAGGCACCAAAGUGAACAUCAAUGACAAGUUUAGGCACCAUUGGUGUUAUUACCUCGACUUUGAGAUGGCCCGGGAGUAGGAAGAGCUGGGGUGGUGCACCUGCAAACCUCUUUUUACCGGUGCCGGGAUCUACCGAAGGUUCUCUGACUAAUAGAAUCUUGGCACCUUAAAAGUUGUCAUAAAUUGUAUCUCUGUAUUCCACACACUUCUUCUGUCAUGGCCCUCUCAUUAUCCAAUAUAUCCCAUCAUUCAAGUAUUCUCUUAUCAACUCGUGAUCUCUUCGUUCACAUGUAUCUAAAUGCCCUCAAGUAUCAUCUUUCGUUUUCCAAUUCUCCCCGGUGAAUUGUGCCUUUGCUACUUUUAUUUUCAAUUCUUAUGGUGGUUCGUUCAAGAUUUAUCUUCCUUCGUUAUCACAUUAACUCAUUCGUUGUUUCCAAAUCCCAUCGGUAGUUCCAUCAAUACCUUCUCAAGUUUACACUAUAUCUAUCUUAAUCCCUUGUACGAGAUUAAGUAGUAUGCCAAUUCCGUUGCUGGUCAUCAAUUUAAAUUGAUGAAGGAUAUGCAUAACGCAAUUCUUAUUCUUGUUUCAUCCAAAUGUUUAAUCCCUUCUUCUGGAGUUUGUUCACGAUGAGUAAAUUCUCGGUUCAAGUGCUUCAUACUUUCCCGGAGUUCCAAGCUUUCUCAAUUACAUCAUUUCAAAGCUUCAUCUAAUCAUUGCAAGGCUUCUCCCAGAGUUCUUUUUAACUUUCCCUUUCGUUUGAUCAUUCUUUUAUUACUGGAGUUCUUCAUGGAGGCUCUACAUGAUGGUUCAUCAAGGAUUUAAUUCCUUCUCGAAGUGUUCGUCGAGAUUCUUUUCAGAGGAGUUCAAGUAUUCUUCAUCUUGCAUUUCAAAGUUCAAUCCCUUCUCCCUUAUCUUUUGAGGUGGUGUUAUGUCAUUCUUGACAAUUUCCCUUCGUGUUUCAUGAUUCACAAGUUGUUCGGAAUGACAUAUUUUGAACCCAUCAUUUUCAAUUCGUUCAUGAGAUCCUUUGCAACCCAUCAAUCUCUUCAUUGGAGUUAUCUUGUGUCAUAUUUCACCUUAAGCCUUCCCUAAGGAUUGUUGCUAUUUAUGGUGCUUAUAAAUGACCCAAGUUCUUCAUUUAUCCUCCCAGUGAAAUAAGUUUCUCGUCUCCUUGUUGAUAUCAAUCCAAUCUAUUGUUUUCGUUAGUGGCAGAAUUUCGCCUCAAGUUUUGGGAUGUUUUCAAUAAGCCCACAACAAGUUUAUUCUUUUCAUUGUUCAUUUCCCAACAACUCCGUCCAAUCCUCUAUGGAAGGAUGCUUUCAAAUUCAUUUGAGGUAGAAGAUGUUGUUUUCUUCUUCAUUACUUUCAGUCUGUUCUAUCUUUUGUUCCGGAGGCAUUGUGAUGUUGCACGCUUCGACCCACCAUCCCAUUUUUGUCAAAGAUCAUGUUCUUUCCUUUGCUUAUCCAUUCAACCGGAGUGUCGUGCCCUCUUUUCAAGUUCUUCCCAUUCCGUCAAGUGUUGCCUCCCUUCUCAACAGGAGUGAUGUCGGUGUCAAAACCGGCGGAUCUCAGGUAGGGGGUCCCAAACUCUGCGUCUAAGGCGGAUGGUAACAGGAGGCAGGGAACACGAUGUUUUACCCAGGUUCGGGCCCCCUUGAUGGAGGUAAAACCCUACGUCCUGCUUAAUUUAUUCUUGAUGAUAUGGGUAUUACAAGAGUUGAUCUACCACGAGAUCGGAGAGGCUAAACCCUAGAAGCUAGCCUAUGGUAUGAUUGUAUGUUGUCCUACGGACUAAAACCCUCCGGUUUAUAUAGACACCGGAGGGGGCUAGGGUUACACAUGGUCGGUUACAAAGGAGGAGAUAUACAUAUCCGUAUUGCCUAGCUUGCCUUCCACGCCAAGUAGAGUCCCACCCGGACACGGGACGAAGUCUUCAAUCUCGUAUCUUCAUAAUCCAACAGUCCGGCCGAAGGAUAUAAUCCGGCUAUCCGGAUGCCCCCUAAGCCAGGACUCCCUCAAUAGCCCCCGAAGCAGGCUUCAAUGACGAUGAGUCCGGCGCGCAGUAUUGUCUUCGGCAUUGCAAGGCGGGUUCUUCUCCAGUUUUCAAGUGUUCGUAAGCAGUGUCCGGCCCCAUAAAUGUCGAACCUCUUGGCUUCUGUGCCCAAUAAGGGCUAUCUCCCACGCGUCAAAUGAAUACGAGGCGCCAGGGCAUUUUUACAUUCGCCCCCCUAGCCAGAUAAAUAAAUUGUCUAUUAAAGGGAUGGGGAUUCUUAGAUCCGACCCAUAUCAUCCUCCCCCUAGCGAGAAUCCAUCAGAGUGCGUUUCGGAAAGAUCCAUUCCAGCAUGGCCGACCUCCGCAGCUCCUCCUCCCGCCCCCGUAGCCCUAAGACCGGUGAUUGGGAGAGGUGUUCAGUCCCACACAGUCAUUUGGUCGAACUGCAGACCAAGGGAUUUCUAUCUCCGGCGUAUAUGGUGCUCGUCCGAGCCGGGCUCGCCACCUACAAUGGCGGGGAGCAAGCGGAGAGCUUCCCCAGCCCCUCUACGGGGGAGCGGGUAUGCUUUGUCCCCUAUCCAUUAAGGGGACUCGAAUUUCCGAUUCAUCCGUUCCUCCGCAGGCUCCUAGAGUUCUACGGCCUCCAAUUACACAAUUUCACCCUUGCCUCCAUUCUACAUAUCGCCGGCUAUGUUGCUCUCUGCGAGUUGUUCCUGGGCUGCGAGGCUCACUUCGAGCUGUGGAAAAGGCUAUUUUGCCUCGUCUCCCGCGCAUAGAGGGGGUCACUUUAUCAAGUGGGCGGAGCCGAAAUAUGGCGCAUCAUCGAUACCGGAUACCUGUCCGGUACCCCAAAGAAGUCGUCCGAAGACUGGCCUUCAGAAUGGUUUUAUAUGGAGGACGUUCCCCUUCCGGACCCUGUUCGGCAGGGUCUUCCUGAGUUCAACAAUGCUCCUCUGAAGAAACGCCGAAGUUGGCGCCCACGGAGCCCCCAGGUGGAAGACAACGGAGAAGUCCUCUAUCUGAUGAACCGGAUCAAAGCACUGGCUCAAUCAGGAUUGACAGUAAUCGAAGUUAUGUCGAUUUGCAUAAUGCGGGGAGUGCAGCCACUUCAAUAUCGUGGGCACCCCUUGUGGUGUUUUAACGGGGCGGAUGAUGCCACCCGCUACGGGCGUAAGGGUCCAGACAAUGCUGCUGCUUUAGCAAAAAUUCUGUCCGAACUGUUCAAGGGAGAGGAAGAGGAGUUCACCCGCAUUAAGCCAUGGGAUGGAUUCUCCAUGUACAAUCCUCCAAGCUGGGUAAGUUAUAUCCCCUUACUCCCAUUUUUCCCGCAUUUUUUGCUGUAAGUAUUCACCUUGCCACUUUGCGGCAGAAACUGCGAAAAGCCAUAAAGGAGGUCAGCAGCCCCUCUCCACAACCAGAGGACCCUGACCGGGCCCUCGACUCCGGACUUGAAGAAGAUCCGGUUAUCUUUGUGGAGCUGAUAGACCGGCAGUUCUAUCAGUUAAGCUGCAAUGACGCCAUGGUGGCCAUUACGACCGACUAUCCCGGGCUGCUCCCUGCGUCGCAUGUAAGAAAAACCAAAAUAUCCCAACUCCAAAAACUAGGAUCCCCUUUUUUAGACACUUCACCCACCAUAUACACAUGGCAUUUUUUACAGGGAAGGCAUUCGGGAUGCCCUGCCGAACCCGCAGCAACUCGCCAAUAAGAGGCACCGAGGCCGGGUAGGCCAAAAAGGAAGGCGGUCAGGACGAAGACGCCGACGCAAAGGUAUAACAAAAAACCCCGCUCCAUGGUUGUCGUCUUUCUCAAAAUGUAAUGACGCCCGUGUUUCUUUAACAGAAAAAACGCUCACCGGAAUAUGUCCGGCGAUGUUGCCAAUCACGCUUCCACCAGUCGGGCGCCAGAACCGGACAUAGAGGUAGAAGCCGAUAUGGGGCAGGCGCCGGAUAAUCCCCCUAUAGAGGAUGUGGAUAGAUUAUCCGCUACAAACUCAGAAGUGGAAAGCGCCAUGAAUCAUAGGCGUCGCCAGGCCGUACUCCGUGACGCUUGUUUCUCACCAAAGGCAUUUGAUGCCUUCAAUUCUGGAGAGGCGUACCUCCGUGCUGCUCAAGAUGGUCUAGCCAGAGCCAUGGAUCAGUAUGUAAAGGAUGCACGGGUGAGUAAAUCUGAUGAUUUAUAUGUAUCAGUAGCCCCUGAGACUUGAAACAGUUAGCAGAACUGAUUUAAGAAUCAUCUUUAUUGUGCAGGUUCUUACAGAGAAGAAUAAUAGGCUGUCACAGGAGCUGGAGGAAUGCAAGACCCAACUGCGGGCCACUGUUGCCGCAUUGCAGGAACCGAAAAAGUCUCUCGCUGGUAAUAUUCACUUUAAAGAAUGAUGGUUACCAUAUAGUGUGUGGCGUGGCUGCAGAUCUAACAAUAGAUGUUGCAGAUGAAUCCGGAGGAAAUCCGGAGAACCAGCACGUUGUGCGACAGCUACAGGCUGGCGAGCGCGUGCUGACUCAGGUGAGGCGGCAGAAAAACUGUAACACCCCGGAUAUGAUUUACCUAAUAUGUAAUCCAACUCUUGCCGUUUCUGGCGUUAAGUUAUUUUUUUCCUCGGGUUCGGGUUUUUGUCUCAGUGUUUUCUCCGCGUCUCUCCAAUGAAAGGUACUCGUCGCUUCGGUAUCAAAGGGAAGCUUGCCCCUAGAUACGUGGGACCUUUCAAGAUCGUCAGCAAGAGAGGCGAUCUCGCCUAUCAACUCGAGCUUCCUUCAAACUUUGCAAAUGUGCACGACGUGUUUCAUGUCUCUCAGCUCCACAAGUGCUUCAAGACUCCUGAACGCACUGUCAACUUCGAAGACAUUGAUCUCCAAGAAGAUCUCUCUUAUCGUGAGCACCCCAUGGCAAUUCUUGAAGAGACUGAACGCAAGACUUGCAAUAAGUCAAUCAAAUUCCUCAAAGUCAAGUGGUCACACCAUUCCGACCGUGAAGCCACCUGGGAACGCGAGGAUCACCUCCGUUCUGAGUACCCGGCGUUCUUCCAGUCCUAGAUCUCGGGAUGAGAUCCUUUCGUAGUGGUGGAGUGUUGUAACACCUCGGAUAUGAUUUACCUAAUAUGUAAUCCAACUCUUGCCGUUUCCGGCGUUAAGUUAUUUUUUUCCUCGGGUUCGGGUUUUUGUCUUAGUGAGUUGUUGUUUUUCUCAUGCAUCUCAUAUCAUGUCAUCAUGUGCAUUGCAUUUGCAUACGUGUUCGUCUCAUGCAUCCGAGCAUUUUCCCCGUUGUCUGUUUUGCAUUCCGGCGCUCCGUUAUCCUCCGGUGGUCAUCUCUACCUUUCUUUCGUGUGCGGGGAUUAAACAUUUCCGAAUUGGACCGAGACUUGCCAAGCGGCCUUGGUUUACUACCGGUAGACCGCCUGUCAAGUUUCGUACCAUUUGGACUUCGUUUGAUGCUCCAACGGUUAACCGAGGGACCGAAAAGGCCUCGUGUGUGUUGCAGCCCAACACCCUUCCAGUUUGGCCCAAAACCCACCAAAACCCUCUCCAUCAUCUAGAGCGUUCGAUCACGAUCGCGUGGCCGCAAACCGCACCUCAUUUGGACUCUCCUAGCUUCCCCUAUGCCUAUAAAUAUACCCCCCUCCGAAAUUCUCGUUUCCCCUCUCCUGAAAACCCUAGAUCCACUCCAUCCGCCGCCGCCGGACAAAUUUCCGCAGGUCGGACGUGUCCGGUCCGCCCGCCGCUGCCACGUGUCAUCGCCUGGUUCGCCCGCCGCCCGCGUGCCCACAUCGCCGCGCUGGCCCGCCGGGGCCCAGGCGGGGCCCUCCCGGCCUAGUGCCGCGCCGCCCGCGCCCGCCUUCGUCUCCACCGCUUCCGACGACGCGCCGCCGCCAUCCUCCACUCCGGCGCCACGCGGUCGCGGUCCGCCUCGCCGCCCGCCGUCACCUCGUCGCCUCGGCCUCCACGCACCACCGCCGCCUCGUCCUCGCGCCGCCACGCCGCCUGGAGGCCCGGCGCCCGUCUCCGCCGCUCCGGCAAGCCCCGAGCCGGCCAGCCUCCUCUUCCUCCCUCCACUCCGGCCGCCGCACACCCAUCGACGCCGGCAAGACUCCGGCGAGCUCGGAGCCAACCUCGGGGCACGUGCGAACCCUAGAUCUGGGUUGACCUCCUCCCCUCUCUUCAUAUUAUUUUGCAUACUUUGACCGGCUAUAUCUCCGCAUCCGUAGCUCCGUUUUGGGCGUGUAGCAUAUCAAAAUGUUCGACCCAGAGAGUACAUCAUUUCAUCUCAUUGCAUCAUUUUCAUUUGAGUUCAUCUUGAUGCCCGAAAUGCUGUUGGAAGAGUGCUAUUUGAGAUAAUUGUCAGAUCUGCUGCUCCAAAUAGCUAUUUGUUAUUUUUGCCAUGAUUAUUGUGUGCAUGAUAUGCCCAUGAGCUCUACAUGUGUUUUGUCAUAUGUUUUGCCAUCUUUCCAGAGGUGUCAUCCGUGUAUUUUUGUGAUGUGUGUGGUGACUAGCACAAGCUUGCAAAGUGGUGCAUUCACUAAUGCUGAUUUCAGGGACUUAGCCAUUCCACUAAGUCCUUGAUCUGUUUUUAUCAAUAUGCCAUAUGUUCAAGUUGUUUCCUAGUGAUCCGUGCCUCUUUUGAGGAUGAUCAGUAAGGAUGUUUUGUCAAUAUUGUAGUGCUCUAUCCAUCCAUGCAUUUGUUUGCAAUUAUGGAGCACCCUAGCUUGAGUCAAUCGAGCUCUACUUUUGCUAUUUCGUGAAUCUGGGCAGAUUGUCUACUUGUUAGAGAUUUUGCCGAGGAUGUUGUAGUUGAUCCGUGCAUGCUAUGUUGUUGUUCUUACCAUGUCUAGCUUGUAUAAUGUGUAUUCUUGAUGGGUGUAUGCUUAGUUUGUCAUGCCUUGCUCUGUAGUGAGUGCAUCGAGCUCGUAAACAUGCCUACUUGAUAUCUGAUUUGCAUGCUCCAGUUUUUCACUAAGUCUGUGAUCUGAUUAUGUUUUUGCCAUGUUCACAUGCUUCAAUUGUAUUUUCUGAUUCCUUUUGGCUCAAGGUCACUAAGGGACUUUUGUUAAGCUCUUUGAGUAGCUCCAUGCCAUGCCUUGCUUUGCCAUGUUAAGUUCCUGUAGCAUCUAGUUUUCAUGCUCCAAAGUGUGCUACCUGAUCUGAAAUUCCAGACAAGUGUUAAUUUCACUAAGUCUGAAACCUGUUUACCAAUUGCACUUUUGCCAUGCUUGUUUGAACCUGUUAAUGGAUGAAUUGGCCGUAGCUCAGUGUUCAUCUUUUGUUAAGCAUUAUAAAUGGAUCCCUGCCAUGUAUUUUGUUGUCAUGUUUGGGUGCUGUAGCAUGUUCAUCUUGUUGCAUUUAGAUGGCUACUUGUUGUUUAUCGCAGACCGUUGCCAUAUUUGAGUUGCUUGCCAUUUCCAAACCGUGUCUCCGAUUCCGGUGACCUUUAUAUCGAUUUCAACCGAAAUCACCUCACCUUUCCAUUGGCACACUUGGAUUUCCAAGUUGAGGCCAGGUUCAUUCAUUCCUUGUCAAAUCUUGCAUAUGCAUCACAUAUCGCAUCCCGCAUAGCAUACCAUGUUUGCAUCAUGUUGUUUGAGCUUUGCACGUGGUUGAUUCUGUCCUUUUUUGCAUGUUUGUCUUGUUUGGGUAGAGCCGGGAGACGAGUUCGUUAACGAGGAGCCCAUUGAGUUUGCUUUCGAGGAUCCAGUCAACUCUGACAACUUUGCAGGCAAGAUGAUCAUACCCUCGAAAUCACUUCUAUCUUUGCUUUGCUAGAUGCUCGCUCUUUUGCUAUGCCUAUGCUACGAUGCCUACCACUUGCUUAUCAUGCCUCCCAAAUUGCCAUGUCAAACCUCUAACCCACCAUGUCCUAGCAAACCGUUGAUUGGCUAAGUUACCGCUUUGCUCAGCCCCUCUUAUAGCGUUGCUAGUUGUAGGUGAAGAUUGGACACUGUUCCUUGUUGGAACAUUAUUUACUUGUUGGGAUAUCAUUAUAUUAUCUUGUUAUCUUAAUGCAUCUAUAUACUUGGUAAAGGGUGGAAGGCUCGGCCUCCCGCCUAGUGUUUUGUUCCACUCUUGCCGCCCUAGUUUCCGUCAUAUCGGUGCUAUGUUCCCGGAUUUUGCGUUCCUUACGCGGUUGGGUGAUAAUGGGAACCCCUUGACAGUUCGCCUUGAAUAAAGCUCUUCCAGCAAUGCCCAACAUUGGUUUUACCAUUUUCCACCUAGCCUUUUCCCUUGGGUUUCGCAGACUCAAGGGUCAUCUUAUUUUACCCCCCGGGUGAGUGCUCCUCUGAGUGUUGGUCCAACCGAGCGAAGUCCGGGGCUACCAGGGGCAACUCUGGGCUGGCCUACCCGACGUCUUGCUCAUCCGGUGUGCCCUGAGAAUGAGAUAUGUGCAGCUCCUAUCGGUAUUUGUUGGUACAUCUGGGUGGUGUUGCUGGAUUUGUUUUAACUUGUCGAAAUGUCUUGUAGAACCGGGAUGCCGAGUCUGAUCGGAAUGUCUCUGGAGAAGGUAUAUCCUUCGUUGACCGUGAGAGCUUGUCAUGGGCUAAGUUGGGACUCCCCUGCAGGGAUUUGAACUUUCGAAAGCCGUGCCCGCGGUUAUGGGCAGAUGGGAAUUUGCUAAUGUCUGGUUGUAGAUAUCUUGAACCUUAACUUAAUUAAAAUGAAUCAACCGUGUGUGUUACCGUGAUGGUCUCUUCUCGGCGGAGUCCGGGAAGCGAACACGAUGUUGGAGUAAUGCUUGCCGCAGGUUGUUCUCUAGUUAUUCGUUCGUGCUUUGCCUUCUCUUCUCGCUCUCUUUUGCGAACAGGUUAGCCACCAUAUAUGCUAGUCGCUUGCUGCAGCUCCACAUAAUUACCUUGCCUUACCUAUAAGCUUAAAUAGUCUUGAUCGCGAGGGUGCAAGAUUGUUGAGUCCCUGUGGCUCAUAGAUUACUUCCAAACCAGAUGCAGGGCCAGACGACUCCGUUCUAGAUGAUGCGGUUGAGCUCAAGUGGGAAUUCGAUGAAGCUUCCCGUCGUUACUAUGUGUCUUUCCCUGAUGAUCAGUAGUGGUGCCCAGUUGGGGCGAUCGGGACCGUGUCGCAUGUUGGGUUGAUCUUUUAUUUUGGCACCGUAGUCGGCCCAUGAGUGAUUGAAUGAUGAAAUGCUAUUUAUGUACUUUGUUUGACGUGGCGAGUGUAAGCCAACUAUGUACCUUCCCUUUUAUUAUCUAUAUUACAUGGGAUGUUGUGAAGAUUGCCUUACUUGUGACAUUGCUUUCAAUGCGGUUAUGCCUCUAAGUCGUUCUUCGACACGUAGGAGAUAUAGCCGCAUCGAGGGCAUUACAAGUUGGUAAUCAGAGCCUUCCCUGACCUUAGGAGCCCCCACUGCUUGAUCAUUUUUAGCAGCUGUUGUUGAGUCUAGAAAAAUGUUUUGAGUCAUUUAGGAAUUAUAUAUCAGAGAGUUUAGGAAUUCUUUUUACUCCCCAGUCCCCUCAUCGCUCUAGUAAGGCAUCCUGACGUAGAGUUUUGACUCUUCUCUUCUCAAAUUUCACAAAAAAAAUUAGGAUCACACGGGUAUCUUGGAAUCGUUCCGAUGGUUUUGUGACGAGAACAUUGUUCUUGGUGCCUCCUGUCAUUUAGGGGUUGUGGCAGUGUCCCGGGGAGUUGAGCUCCGAGCUGUUGUCGUCACAAUUUUAUCGUUGCAGUUCUGGAAUACCUGAGUUUAGUACGUCGACAUCGAAAAUCUCUUUUAUGCAGUUGUUGGUGAGAUAACCUCGACGCCACCCAGUACUGGGGCGGGAGUUCGGGAGUAUUGCCAUAACUUGUAUAACGGAUGCUUUUCGAAGGUUGAGGUAGAUGGUUUCCGAAGUUUUUCUCGGUUAUGUGUUGAAGGAUGGAUACAGCUGGAUGUAGGAUUUGCUAGAUUUGGGUGAGAUAUUAUGCUUCCCCUGUAUCCCCAACACCUGAUUGCAUAACCAGAAAGGUUCGGGAGUUUCAUAGGUGGGAAUUCUUGUAGCUCUAGUUCUUCUUCCACGGAGAUUUGGUUUGAGAUUGGGAUUUCUUACCGAGUAUUCGUUCUUGUUCCGUACCUUGUUUAUUUAUUCCUCUACCUAAAUUCUAACUGGCUUCUCAAUUUAUGGAUAUGUGACCAUUUCAAGUGGAAUACAUUCGUUCUUAUGUUCGGAUGUGAAGACUAUAUGUUGCAAUUUCAACCCGCUUGAUUCAACUUCAAUUUUAUCUAUCAAUGUGCUAACGGAUGUCACCCUCUUCAGGAUGGCUCCCGCUAAGAGCAGCAAUCAGAAUCAGAAUCAGGAUCCGCCACCACCUCCCCCUCCUCCGGAGGCAUGGCAAGCUGUGAUGGCCGCUACCAAUGCAAACACGCAGUUGAUCAUGUAAAUUCUUCAAGAGCGCAAUCAAGCGAACCAAGGCAACCAAGGCAACAAUCAGAAUCACUUUGCUACACUCAACCAGUUCCUUGCUAACCAGCCAAAGACCUUCAGCAAUUGUGUUGAGGCAACUGAUGCUGACGAUUGGCUCGUGGACUUAUGCAAGCAUUUCGAGUGCAGUAUCGUCAGGCCUGAGGACUUUGUCAAGUUCGCUUCCUUCCAACUCAAAGACCAAGCUGCAGAAUGGUUCCAGCAGUACAAGGAUUCUAGAGGAGGCCGUGUGAUUACCUAGGAUGAAUUCCGUCAAGACUUCAAAGCUCAUCAUAUUCCUUAGAGCGUGGUUGAAAGCAAGCGUGAGGAAUUCCGCAACCUGAAGCAAGGCUCUUUGUCCGUCUAUGACUACAACAAGUUGUUUCAGAAGCUUGCCCGCUUUGCUAAGCAGGACGUCCCUAACGAGAAGAGCAUGAUAUACCAGUUCAGGGGUGGUCUCAGAGAGGAAAUCCAGCUAGCUCUUGUUCUCUUUGAGCCCUUGAGGUACUGUUGGGGAUAUUACUACUGGGCGUAAACCGGCCUAUCUGGGCCGGGUUAACUUCAUCAAUAGUUAAUUAUGUUAAAGCCCAAGAAGGCAUAUGAGAGCUCAAGGCCCAUGGUCGGUUUAAGGCCUGUAGCCGUAAACCGGCGUUGGUAUGUAACUUGUAUUGUAAGUUAGGAAUAGGUAGAGACCAAACCGGACACAUCUAUGAGCCGGUAUUGGGAAUCUAUGAACCGACGGGCGUCACCCGUGUAUAUAAGGGGACGACCCGGCAGCGGUUCAGAGAACAGACAACAACUCAAGACAUAGGCGAAGCUUGUUUGCUCCCUAGUCAUUGAAACCCCAUCAAUUCCAUCACAACUAGACGUAGGCUUUUACCUUCAUCGAAGGGGCCGAACUAGUAUAAACUCUCUUGCGUCCUUGUGUCCGCUUUAACCCCUUCAAGCUAACCCGUCGCGAUGGCUCCACGACUAAGUCCUUUCUCUAGGACAUCUGCCGUGACAAAACCACGACAGUUGGCGCCCACCAUGGGGCUAUCACACGAUGGUUUCCGGUUCUUGGAGGGCCGCUUUGAAGGACUCGAGGGCUACGCAGUAGGCCGGAUGACUAAGAGUCGUCGCGGCAAGCUCUACAUCGACGAUGCAGGCUGGGGCCCUGAGGCCGGCUCAAUUGAGUACGGGUACCGGGUCCCCUUUGGUAGCAUUCACGUUUUCAUUGGCAAGAUCGGUGAACCGGGCCCUGAGCCGGACAUCUGCACCGACCUCGUCGAGACGGCUCAGCGUGCGCAAUCCGCCCGGGUUAAACCGGCCAUGAAGCGUGCCUUCGUGGGAGUCAUCCAUGGAGGAAGUUAUGAGGACGGAUCGGAGUUUCGCGGGGCGACUGUCGUUUGUUCCGGUGACGAAUCUUCGAUCGGAGAAACCGAAUCUCUUUAUCAGCUACAAGAUGGCCGGAUUGGGAGCUGUUCCGAUGGUGACAGUAUUCCGGACCCCUCUGAUCUGCCCAACCGGGUUGGAAUAUUCAUGACCGGAACACAAGCAACACUUCAUUCUUCGACAGCCGCGGCAACGAUCUCCGGUUCAGUAGCGGUGACGGCUACCGGGGCAGGAGGCCCUGUGCGCCCGCCGGCUCAGGUUCUAUCAGAACUAUUUGAUGCGUUGGCUGUGCUUAUGGCGGAAGUUAAUCCGCCAGAUCAGGAUGUUCACAACACGGAGAUUGCAAAGGUAAAGGAACAGAUCACCCAUGCCAAGGCGGAUCUGGCGGCUGAGGACACCAGGAUGGCCGCAGAGCGGGCCGCUUUAGACGCACAGGCCUACAGGCUUAUGUUGGACCAGAGCGCGUCGCAUGAAGUCAUGAGGAGGAAGCACCGAUCCCGCUUACCUCCAGUUUUCGAGGCCAGAGACCUUUUCAACACUCCAGGACCAAGAGCCGGCAAUCUGCUGGAGGGGAACCGGGCAGAAGCCCCUAGGACCGGUGCACCGGUUCAGCCUCGUCAGAUGGACCCGCCUCGUCAAAACACCGUUAUACCUCAGGAUGCUUUAACACCUCCGGGUCACUACUCCAACCCAAUGGACAAUCUUGUUGCCGCUGCUGCACGGCUGGAGGCCAUUCCAAUUGAAGGUGACUCACCGCAGGCAGUAGAGACGCGACGGGUCAAGGAACUUCUGAGGACAACUUUGGCCCAACAGGAAGCGUACUCGUACAGCCGCGACCGGAUCCACUCGACCCCCCGUCCAAGCUGGAGCUAUAGCAGACAUAUGGAUGAACCAGCAGUGUCGAGUAAUGAACAACGUGGAGCACCCCGUGGCAACAACCCGACGGGUGGUGCUGAUGACGCUCAGGAAAUGGUGAACCGGGCCCGAGCGCGCAGGGAGGCCGAGUUAGCCGCACAGCGUCAGGCUCGGCAGCUCACACCGGUUCGUCCAACCAUCUCGAUCGAACCUGGUGUUACUUCUAGUUCUUUGGGGGUGCCUUGCCUUAUCCCCACUUUACGCAACGUGCGCCUGCCCAAGGAUUUCAAAGGCCCGCGCAAGGUACCAAAUUACACGGCAGAUCAACCUCCAGAGACAUGGGUGGAGACCUAUGAGAUGGCCAUGGAGAUGCUUGAUGUGGAUGACACGGCGUGUGCGAAAUACUUCACCAUGAUGCUUGAAGGAACGGCCCGUACUUGGUUAAAAAGCUUGCCAGCUAAUUCUAUCAGUUCAUGGGCCCAAUUACGAGCCCGGUUUAUCAGCAAUUUCAAGGAUACCUGUAAACAGCCUAUGUCGAUAGUGGACUUAGCUGCAUGUCUCCAGGAGGAAGGAGAAUCAACGAAUCAUUGGGUGCGCCGGGUUUCACAAGUGUUGCACUCCUCAGACCGCAUCAACGCUGACACCGCAGUAUUAACCCUAGAAGGCAACUGCCGGUUUGGGCCCCUGAAGUUGAAAUUGGGACGGAUGAAGCGUCAUUGCACCGACAUGGGGACCCUCAUGGCCGCUUUGGUGAAAUAUGCUGAUUCUGAUAGUACCAAGGAUCCCGAAUCUGAUGAUGACAAGACAGGGAAAGGGAAGAAGAACAGCAGCUCCAAAGGUCAGCAGCAUCACUGGGUAGGCAAUGGCGGAGGAGGCAAGCGUAAAGCGGAUGGUAACAUGGACUUCGUGGCUAAUACCAAUGCACAGGACAAUGGCCAGCGACGCAAGGGUAGGCCGAAAAAUCGUAAUGGAGCACCCAACCCUAACCCAAACCGCCUAAACUAUUUGCUAAGCCAGCCCUAUCCAAGACAUGGGACGAAGGAGGAGCCAGCAAACCACCUUUGGAAGGAUUGCUUUAUUAUACAGGAGUUCAAGAAUUCUAAUAAUUUCCGGUAUGAUCAUGAAUCUGGCGGUGGCUCAGGGUCUGGGCCGGGUUACGGUGGAGGAAGUGCCGGUUCAGGAUUUAAUGGUAAUCCGGGCGGGCAUAAUGGUCAAAAUAGUCAGAACAACCAGGGUGGUUACAACCAACAGCAGCAACAGUCAGGUUACCAGAGCAACCCAAAGCGGUUGAGUAGUGGGCAGUACCAUGUCUUUACCACUAUCUUGGACAAGCGAGACCGGAAGGUUCAGAGGCGGGCAGUCAACUCUGUUGAACCGGCCAUACCCCGUUAUCUACGUUGGUCUGAACAGCCAAUCAUAUGGAGCAGAGAGGAUCACCCAGCCCAGGUCGAUAAUCCGGGUCAGUUGGCUCUGGUGGUGGCGCCUCAGGUGGGAGGUUAUAAGUUCACCAAGGUGCUCAUGGAUGGAGGGAGCAGCAUUAACAUCCUGUACUAUGAGACCUUCCGUCGUAUGGGACUAACAGAUAAGAAUCUCAAACCGUCUAAUACAGUAUUCCACGGUGUAGUGCCUGGCAGAUCAGCAUAUCCCGUUGGUAAGAUAGCUCUGGAAGUGGCCUUUGGGGAUGAUCAUGAUUCCAGGUCGGAGACAUUGACGUUUGAAGUGGUGAAAAUCCAAAGUCCAUAUCAUGCCCUAUUUGGGCAACCGGCAUAUGCCAAGUUUAUGGCUCGGCCCUGUUAUGUGUAUUUGCAGCUCAAGAUGCCGGGUCACAAGGGGACAAUAACGGUUCACGGAAGCCGCAAAAUCGCUUUGGAAUGCGAGGAAGGAGAUGCGGCUUAUGCAGAGUCGGUUUGUACCACCGAGGAGUUGAAGUACUAUAAAGACAAUGUUGAUCCGGCGGACAUGACUCCGUUGAAGAAGCCAACUACGGAGCAUGAUCCGGCCCUGAAGUUCAAAUCGGCAAUAGAAACUAAGCUUGUUGACUUCGUACCUGGCGAUUCAUCCAAGCAGUUCAGCAUCAGUGCCAACUUGGAUUCAAAAUAGGAAAGCGCGCUCAUCGAGUUCAUCCGUGAGAAUCGGGACAUUUUUGCAUGGAAGCCCUCCGACAUGCCAGGUGUACCGAGGCAACUCGCUGAGCACACACUUAAUGUCGAUCCUAAAUAUAAACCGGUGAAACAGUUCCUCCGCCGGUUUAACGAAGAAAGACGCAAGGCGAUUGGAGAAGAGGUAGCCAGGCCCUUAGCAGGUGGCUUUAUUGUUGAAGUUUUUCACCCCGAGUGGCUUGCCAAUCCGGUGCUGGUCCUCAAGAAAAAUGGCACCUGGCGCAUGUGUGUGGAUUACACAGAUCUUAAUAAAGCUUGUCCAGCAGAUCCUUUUGCCCUCCCCCGUAUUGAUCAAAUUAUUGAUGCUACGGCGGGUUGUGAGCGUUUAAGUUUUUUCGAUGUGUAUUCUGGCUAUCAUCAGAUCAAAAUGGUAGUUAAGGACCAGGAGAAGACAACAUUUAUAACUCCCUUUGGAGCCUUCUGCUAUGUGUCUAUGCCCUUUGGGCUCAAGAGUGCCCAGGCAACUUACCAACAGUGUGUACAAAAUUGUCUUCACAAGCAGAUUGGCCGUAAUGUACAUGCUUACGUGGAUGAUAUCGUGGUUAAAUCCAGGGAGAAGGAGACUCUGAUUGAUGAUUUGAAGGAAACCUUUGAUAACCUGAGAACAUACGAGAUGAUGCUUAAUCCGGACAAGUGUGUCUUUGGUGUACCGGCGGGUAAGCUAUUGGGUUUUCUAGUGUCCAACAGGGGAAUUGAGGCUAAUCCAGAGAAGAUCACAGCUAUCACCUCCCUGGCUAAACCGAAGUGUAUCAACGAUGUUUAACGCCUGGCAGGCCGGAUUGCUGCGCUAAGCCGGUUUAUCAGUCGCCUGGGUGAGAAGGCAAUCCCUUUGUAUCAGAUGUUGAAAAAGACGGAUCAGUUUGUCUGGAGUUCUACUGCUGAUGAAGCAUCUGAGGACUUAAAGCGGCAAUUGGCCAAUCCUCCUGUGCUCGCCGCUCCCGUUGACAAGGAGUCGUUACUGCUAUAUGUUGCUGCUAAUGUUCGGGCGGUCAGUGUAGCUAUUGUGGUGGAGCGGAAGGAGGCAGGUAAGGAGCAUCCGGUUCAACGUCCGGUCUAUUAUAUCAGCGAGGUUCUCAUUGAGUCCAAGCAAAGGUAUCCGCAUUCGCAGAAGCUGGUGUAUGGAGUUUUUAUGGCAAGCCGGAAGCUUAAACAAUAUUUCCAAGGGCACUCCAUUACGGUGGUCAGUUCUGCUCCUUUGGGAGAUAUCAUCCAGAACUGGGAAGCAACUGGCCGGAUUGCAAAGUGGGCCAUAGAGCUAGGGCCGUACGGUUUGAAGUAUGUGCCUCGGACAGCGGUUAAGUCUCAAGCACUUGUUGAUUUCAUCAAUGAUUGGACGGAAAUGCAAGCACCUGAAGAAAAGCCGGAUCAUACGUAUUGGACCAUCCAUUUUGACGGAUCCAGGCAGUUGGAAGGCUCGGGGGCUGGAGUCGUAUUAACUUCCCCACGAGGUGAUAAGUUUUGUUAUGUUCUCCAUUUAAUGUUCUCGUGUACUAACAAUGCAGCUGAAUAUGAAGCCUUGCUCCAUGGUCUCUGGAUGGCUAAGGAGAUGAAUCUAAGUCGAGUUAAGUGCUUCGAUGACUCGGACCUUGUGACUCAGCAAGUAUCUUGCACUUGGGACUCCAAGGACCCACUCAUGGCAGCAUAUCGUCGUGAGGUGGAUACUGUCGCAGGUUAUUUCAAAGGCUAUCAGGUGGACCACGUGGACCGGCGAAAAAAUGAAGCGGCAGACACUUUAAGCCGGCUGGGCUCUCAGCGCAAACCGGUCCCACCCAAUGUUUUUCUGGAUGUGCUGCACAACCCGUCGGUCAAGAUCCCUGGUGAAGAGGAUUUGGCUAUUCCUGAUCCGGAGGCUCAAUUGGUGGCGGCUCUUCAUGUUAUUCCAGAUUGGACGCUUCCUUACCUGGCGUACAAGAACUGGGGUGAGUUGCCAGAGGAUGAGAUUCUAGCCCGGCAGAUAAUCCGGCGAUCCAAGUCCAUGGCUAUCAUCAACGGCGAGUUGCAUCAUUGCAGUAUAUCAGGAGCUUUUCAACGCUGCGUGUCUCCUGAAGAAGGCCGUGAAAUUUUGCGUGAGAUCCAUGAAGGAGAUUGUGGUCACCACGCCGGUUCAAAGUCUCUGGUGGCUAAAGCGUUUCGCCAUGGUUUUUAUUGGUUAACUGCUCAUGCUGAUGCGGAGGAUCUGGUCAGACGAUGUGAUGGUUGCCAAAGGUUUUCAAGGCGUGCUCAUGUACUGGCUCAAGAAUUGAGAAUGAUUCCAAUUACUUGGCCGUUUGCGACUUGAGGGCUGGAUAUGGUUGGGCCUUUCAAAAGAUCCAAAGAUAAGAAGACCCACCUCCUGGUGGCGGUUGACAAGUUUACAAAGUGGGUGGAGGCAGAACCUGUUAGCAAGUGUAAUGCGGCCACGGCGGUUCAGUUCAUCAAAAAGGUGAUUUUCCGGUUUGGCUUUCCGCACAGUAUUAUCACAGAUAAUGGUACCAAUUUGUCCAAAGGUGCUAUGAAGGAGUUCUGCGAACGGGAGCACAUCCGGCUCGACGUUUCAUCAGUGGCACAUCCACAGUCCAAUGGUCAAGCAAAAAGAGCCAAUCAAGAGAUCUUGAGAGGCAUCAAGCCCCGGCUCAUUGUUCCUUUGCAGAGAACGCUGGGUUGUUGGGUAGAAGAAUUAUCAUCUGUGUUAUGGAGCAUCAAUACAACACCCAACAGAUCAACAUGAUACACACCGUUCUUCAUGGUUUAUGGAGCGGAGGCGGUUCUCCCCAGUGAUAUCCGUCAUGAUUCACCUCGUGUCACGGCUUAUAUUGAAGCGGACAACGAGACAGCAUGGCAAGAUGCUUUGGACCGGUUGGAUGAAGAGCGUGACAUCGCAGCCGCCCGAUCGGCGAUUUACCAGCAGGAUCUUCGUUGUUAUCACAGUCGCCGGGUCAGAACCAGAACCUUUCAGGAAGGAUAUUUGGUGCUUUGGCUCAUCCAAGAUCAGACUGAUAUGCAUAAGCUAUCCCCACCUUGGGAGGGGCCUUUCGUGGUCAGCAAGAAUCUGCACAAUGGGUCGUACUAUCUGAUCGAUAUUCGAGAGCAUAAGGACUCACAUGCAUAAGAGGAGGAGACUAACAGGCCGUGGAAUAUAGCUCAUCUUCGGCCUUACUAUACCUGAGCCAUUGGCUAUACUUAUGUACAUAUUACGACAAUGUAUAUAUUAUGAUUAAAUAUAGUAAACCGGAACCUCAGCUAAAGCGGGGUAUCUGUUCUUUUACAUCAUGUGAGGUUACACAGAGUUGCUCUAAAGUGGCCUCCGGUUUACCCCUUGAGUUCGCUUUGCUAAAAGCAUCGUGUUAUAUCACUUGGAGGAUUGGUCGUGUCCGAACCAAUACCAUGCCUCUUGAUAGGCGAGAGCCACCAGAUCACUUGGGGACUUGGUCAUGUCUGAACCAGUCAUGCCUCUUGAUCGGCCUAAGGCCACAGAAUCACUUGGGGGCUUGGUCGAACCCGAACCAUGACCAUGCCAUUUGGUCGGCAUAAAUGCCACGGUUUCAUUUGGGGACCUGGCUGACUAGAACCAUAGUUACACCUAACGGGAGCUUGGUCGUGUUUGGCCAUGGUAACGCCAUUUGAUCAGCUUAAAUAAACCUUUUUUAGCAAAUGGUUUUGUCGUUGCUUUUGCUUCACACUUUUCUUUGAAGGGGGGGUUUUUGCUUUUCAUUGUGUUUUUUAAACCAACAAAGCUUUUUAAACCAAUCAAUUGACGGAACACAGUUCACGUCAAUCCGGAGACUAUUUGUCUGGUUUGAUCUUUGUUGUUAACAUCCUCUUAUGGAGUAACACGGUGUUUAUUAUAACCCGGCAUGGUUUACAUGGUAAACCAGCGUCAUGUAUAUAUACAGGAGCUGUUAUCUCCUCCAACAGUGUGGGUUUGCAAAACUCCGCUUCAAGGUUGGCCAAGCCAACUUCACACUCAACGAUGGCAGGUAUUAUGUAUCUCAAAAAUUUGAUCAUAUACUUGAAAUUUUGUUUUGGAUGUUUUGUUUUCAUAUAUAUAGACAUCAUAUUCCGCCUGACGGUAUAACCGCGGUGGCACUUGAUGAAUUUCUUAUUUCAGAAAGUGUUUUGGAAAGUUCACUACCACAGGAAGAACAAGUUGUGCACGAAGGCAUAUCAACAUCAAAGGUAUCAGCUAGCCUAUUACAAGGCAACAUGGUGCCCAUAAUAAUAUAAUUGUUUUUCACAAAGGAGAAGCAGUUUUAAAACCGGCUUCCGAUUCAAGCUUGGCCACCAGCCUGGCCUGAUGGUUGUGGGUCAUCCUGCGCCGCUUCAGCUUCCAUUUCUCUACCCAGUGGCUGGAAAUCCACAGUUGUCCAGUCGAUUCCCAUUAAUGCUUGAAAAACAGCUUCAUCAUGGAUCAGCAAUGACGGGUCAAUAUCGGGAGCGUAAGUAUGCUUACGGAUUGGAGGGAUCAGAUUUUCCGAUUCAUGGAUUGGUGCAGCUAUUCACUUGUUUUGACUGUCAUAUUGCGCUUGAUAAUAAGACAAGUCUGCUUCCUCAGCCAACUGACAAGCUAGUGGACGUACCUCCCGGUUUAUUGCUCGCAGAUCCGCUUCACCAAAUUCCGACUCGUCUUCCUUCAAACUGGGAUAGCCCUGAGCCGCUUCAAUAGGAUCAAAAUCUGGCACCCAAGCUUUUGCCCAGAUUAAGGCAUUGAUUGCACCGGUUCAAGCAGCAGAUUUCUUCAGCUCUUCAACCAGGGCAGGAAGCACUGACAGUUUCAUCAGAGUAUCUUGAAUCAAAGUGGGCGCCGGUUUAUUAUGAGACGUGGUACAGAUGAUCCGCUGGGCACCAGUAUACAAUUGUUCAACCAAUGUAUAGGCGGCUUUCAAUUUCUUCCGCACAUCUGACCCCAAGUGACCAAUGCGUGUCCCUGAAAUACCAUAAAGGGUUAAUAAACCGGCAACUCUGUAAGAAGGCAGAGCCAAUUCAGAAGGCAAGCUGGCUUACCAAAGAUAGCAGUGGUCAUGGCAUGAACGUGCCGCUUUAUGCUGGUCAGUUCAUCCAUCACUGGUUUUAGUGCAGCCUCGGCAUCCUCCGCUCGUUUGAUCAAAGCGGACUUUUCAGUGGCCCAAUCCGCCCGUUUCUUCUUGAAGUUCUCCUUAAGUUGUUCCAUGGCGCUUAAAGCACUGGCCAAUUCCUCUUUUGCUUUGGAGGUUUUAGCCUGUUGGGUUUUCAGGUUUUCUUGAAGAUUGAUGACUUGGUUUUCUUUCGUCUUCAGCUCCGCCUGCAUGCAUACAGAUAUAUGUUUCAACAAAUCGGUAGAAGGAUUCAAGUACCAACCACAUAACAAGUUAUGCGCUUAGCACUUGGGGGCUAAUGCAUAUUCGAUCUUCAUCUUUCAAUUGCUUACAAAGUCCCAAGAUCAAUACAAGUAUUCAACUUGGCACUUGGGGGCUAAUGGCUAUUUGAUCAUACAUAUUCUGAUGCGGCAGUUUUCAAUUACUUAAAGUACCGGUUUAACUAUGCUAAGUUGAACCGGCCCUUGGGGGCUACAUCAGCAAAUUUCAAAGCAUCAAGAUUUAUAUUAUUAAGUCCCAGUUUGAAAGAAUAUUUCAAACCGGCCCUUGGGGGCUAGAAGAGUCAGCAAGAAUGGAAGCAUACAAGCAGGAAGGAGCAUAUGGAAGUUACCUUAUAUUUAUCUUUCAUCAUAUUAACCAGACUGGCUUCAUAGUCACGGCUGGUAUACAACCGGUUCAGAUAGCCGGAAUGGAUAUCUUGAGCAUUCAGAGCAGCGUAAGUCGUCAAAUCAGCGUUCCACUUGCCUUUGCCAAAGGCAGCAAAUUCUUCCUUGGUAGAAUUUUUGGAUAAAGUGACAGGAUUGCUUGGCUCAGUAUUGCCAGUGCUAGUAAUGACAACCUCAUCAUCCUUGGUACCGCCGGUUUGCACUGGAGCUGUUGGCUUGUUAGUAGGUUUUGCUGGACCGAUGGAGCUUUCAAUCCGGAUGGAGCCUGUGGGUUGAUGGAUAGGACCUGAGGUAUCAGUAGGUAUCUCUUCAGCAAUAAGAUCAUCAUCUUGCUGCGGUGGAUCAUUGGGAAUAUCCUCAGGAAUAGCCGCUUCAGCAUUGGGUGUCUUGUCUGCUUCAAGAACGACAUCUUCUUCGGCCGCUUUGUCCAGGCGGGCCUUCUUGCUUGGCCUAGGUUUGGCCCUGAGAAGAAUAACAAAAUCAAAUACAGCAUAUGUUCUAAGGCAAUGUACUGCAAACAUCACAAUAAGUAUAGCUUACCCAAGCACCAUUUUGAGCGGUGGGAGCUGAGUAGCCGAUGACUCGCCAGAAGAUGAGUGGGAAGUAACCUGGUAAUCGGAGUCAGACGGAUUAAGAGGUUGACAAAAGCAGCCCGCUUUAGGACAAGCACUGACAAGCAAAUUCGAGACCUCUGAAUGGCGUUUCCGAACCGUACUGUUCAGUAAACCGGCGGAGGUAACUACCUGGCCGCUGUGUCGGGUGGUGCGACGAGCUUCGUAUUGUUGGGUCUUCAUAAGAAGUUUAGGAUCCAAAUAAGCAAGAGGAUGAGAAAAUUUAACUUUCCGGUUUGCCUGACGGAUUUUUUGUGAAGGCAAAGUUUCUGAAUCGGAAGAGAGAAUAAUUACCUCUGCAACAUCCGCGUGGCUAGCUUCAGCAUCAUCCUAACAAAUAUCAUCAUCAAUAAGACGGAUGAAAAAUAAACCAAGUGAGUCAAGCUCUACCUCAAAGUCCGGAUUAUCCACCUCAUCAUCAAGAGCCGGAUUAGAAGAUGCAGUGGUUCUUUUCCCGUGGCAGUCUUCUUCAUAGCCUUAGUCUUUUGCCGGGUUGCUCUUUCCGGUUUGUCUGGUUUUUCUGGUUUCUCCUGCGGCAGUUUUUUGCUCCAAAACGGAUCAUCGCCCUGAUUAUGCAGACACUGAUAUUAAAAACAAUGACCAGACAUAUCAAUAACAGAUUCAGCAAAGAGAAAAAUCAAAGUCUUACAGCUGGCGGUUUGUUGGUGGCACAGAAGGGAAGCAGGCCGGUUCUAGCGCAGACGUGUUCCGGUUCAUUCAGUAUCUUAUGCACAGCCUCUGUGAUUUCUUCACCAGAGAGCUGGAGUUUUGAAUGUCGCAGUGGGUCAUCAACACUGUCAGUAUACUCGCACAUCAAACCGGAGCGCUGACUAAGGGGCAGUAUGCUCCAUGAUAUCCAACAACGAGCGAGAUCAACCCCUGUUAAACCAUUGGCCAUAAAGGCUCUGAGCUUUGACAGCUGGGGAGCAUAUUUGCUUCUCUCCUGGGCAGUCAAUCUUUGAGGAAAAGGGUGUGUAUUGCUGAGCCGCUCCGGACGAAAGCCAGGCAAGGGAUUCUCACCGGCAGGGGAGGUGUCUUUGCAGUAGAACCAUGUCUGAUUCCAUUCUUUGGGGUGGCUAUGCAGUUUGGCGUGAGGGUAUGUGACCUCUUUCCUUUUCUGAAUCGCCACGCCACCCAACUCCGUAUUGGAGCCGUCAGUAAACUCAGUACGACGGUUUAGAUGGAAAAGAUCUCUGAACAAUUCCACUGUGGGCUCCUCUUGAAAGAACGCUUCACAGAGCACUUGGAAGUGACACAUAUUUGUAACAGAGUUGGGGCCAGUAUCUUGUGAAUGGAGCUAGAAAUCGGCUAAAACAUCCCGGUAAAAUUUAGAACCGGGCGGCAUAAAGCCCCGGGCUAAGUGAUCUACGAAAACAACAACCUCUCCUUCUUGAGGUGUGGGAGGGCAUUCUUUGCCAGGAGCCCUCCAAUGGAUGGUAUCUUUGCUGCCUAAAGCGCCAAUCAGGACUAAAUCUUCCAGUUCAGCCUCUGUGACGCGAGAAGGAACCCAAUUGCACUCAUACACUUGCUUGGCCAUGAUGGAAUCUACAAGGUAGAAGAUCCCAGUUCAAAAAUGCAUUGAUUAAAGUGCACUGGUAUGUACAAUGUUAAACCGGAGACAGCUCUAUCUAAACCGGAGUUUUAUGAAGCAACAGCAGCAGGCAGUUCAACAAGGGGACUAAUGGUAUAUACCGGUUUGGCAAUUUUUCUAUAAAGUUAAACCGCCGGAUCUAAGCAUUGAAACAGUUAAGAUUGCAGAUAGAUAAGUGUACAGAAACAAAUUUCACAAGAUUUCUCUACAGCAACGGAUCUGAAGCAAGUUCAGAAAAGAAGGAAAAUAUUCAAGGUUCAAAAAAGAACAGUACCGAAUCAAUGGGAAGAGAUACAGGUAGAGCUACGGUCUUGAGGCAUAUGAGUAAAGGCGGAUGCUAAGAACUACCGCUACAUAGAGCACAGGUUCACAGGUUCAUCUAGGAUCUAUCAUGUGAGUACGAAGCAGACGAUGAACUCUGAAGAACUUGGAAACCCUAGAACGGAUCUUCGGAGGAAAAGGCGAAGAACUCACCGGAGCCGAGGAAGAAACAGAAGGUCGCUGCGAUGCUCUGGUACAGUCAGGGUGAUGCAGCGGCCAAGGUUGGAGCAGAGGUCGUCGACGGCGGCGGAGCUCCGAAGCUGGACGACGUGAGGAAGAUGAAGCAGAAGGGCACGAAGGGGAAAAAGAAAUGACCCUUCGGUCCUAUUUAUAAGGCAAAGGACAGGAGUCAGGCGCAAAAAUCAAGGGACCGUGGGUUUGGAAAUGAAGUUGUCGCCUAAAUUGUCGGAGACCUAUUAAACAAAAAACAAAAA